CUGGUUGAUCCUGCCAGUAGUCAUACGCUCGUCUCAAAGAUUAAGCCAUGCAUGUCUAAGUAUAAACGAUUCUAUACUGUGAAACUGCGAAUGGCUCAUUAUAUCAGUUAUAGUUUAUUUGAUAGUGUUUUACUACUUGGAUAACCGUAGUAAUUCUAGAGCUAAUACAUGCUACAAAACCUGACUGCUUGUCGGAAGGGUUGUAUUUAUUAGAUGGAAACCAAUGCGGGAAUUUCCCGGUUUUGUGUUGAAUCAUGAUAACUGUGCGAAUCGUAUGGCCUUGCGCUGACGAUGAAUCAUUCAAGUUUCUGCCCUAUCAGCUUUGGAUGGUAGGGUAUUGGCCUACCAUGGCUUUAACGGGUAACGGAGAAUUGGGGUUCGAUUCCGGAGAGGGAGCCUGAGAAACGGCUACCACAUCCAAGGAAGGCAGCAGGCGCGUAAAUUACCCAAUCCUGACAUAGGGAGGUAGUGACAAUAAAUAACAAUGCCGGGCCCAUCGGGUCUGGCACUUGGAAUGAGAACAAUUUAAAUCCCUUAUCGAAAUUCCAUUGGAGGGCAAGUCUGGU
rnacentral:rRNA from 1 species